rnacentral:lncRNA from 1 species
CGUUCAAACCAGCUUUUGCUUUUAUUGAUUUUUUUCUGUUGUUCUUUUAAUACGUCUUAUUUAUUUUCUUUCUGAUCUUUGUUAUUUCUUUCCUUCUGCUGACUUUAGAUUUAUUUUCUUUUUCUAAUGCAAAUAAGCACUUGGAUUAUUUGAGAUUUUUUUCUUUUUUGAGGAAUGUCUGUCUUGCUAUGAACUUCCCUCUAAGCACAGUUUUUGUGGGGUUCCACAGGUUUUGUGUGGUGGUGUUUUCAUUGUUGUUUGUCUCAGGAUAUUUUUAAUUUCCUUUUUGAUUUCUUUGCUGACCCAUUGGGGUUUUAGUAGCAUGUUUAGUCUCCAGGUAGUUGGGUUUUCUCAUUUCUUUUCCUGUGGUUGAUUUCUAGUUUCAUGCCAUUGUGAAAAUGCUUGACAUAAUUCUGUGUUCUUAAAUUUGUUGAGGUUAGUUUUGUGCCCUUACUAGGUGAUCAAUCCUAAAGAAUGUUCCACGGGUACUUGAAAAGAAUGUAUAUUCUGGGUUUUUUGGAUAAUGUCCUGAAAAUAUCAAUUGGUCUGACUGUUCUCUUGUGUCAUUGAGGAUCUCUGCUGGCCUUUUUUUUUUCCCCCGCUUUUUAGGGCCACACCUGCAGCAUAUGGAAGCUCCCAGGCCAGGGGUCGAAUUGGAGCUGCGCUACAGCCACAGCAGCAGCAGAUCCAAGCCUCGUCCCCCCCUUUAAACUGCGCUCAUGGCAAUGCUGGAUCCUUAAUCCACUGAGCAGGUCCAGGGAUGGAACCCACAUCCUUGUGGAUACCGGUUGGGCUCGUUAGCACUGAGCCACAGUGGGAACUCCCUCUGUUGCCUUAUUGGUCUGUCUCGAGGAUCUGUCCAUUGAUGAGAGUGGGUGGUAAGGUGUCCUACUGUGAGUGUGUCCCCUCGGUUUCUCCCGCUGUGCCUGUUGGAUGUAUGUGGGUGCUGCUACGGUCGGAGCAUAGGUGUUGACGAGUGUGGUAUCUUCUCGUGAACCCAUCCUUUUAGCCUUAAGUGGUGUCCUUUAUCCUCCUCUAUGGCCUUGGCUUUAGGGAUGUUUUGUCUGACGUGAGUAUUGUGACGCCUGCUUUCCUGUCAUUUCCAUUCACGUGAAAUAGCUUUUUCCAUCUCCUCAUUUUCAGUGUACAUGUGUUCUUUGCCCUAAGGUGAGUCUCGUGCAGGCGGCGUAUUGUAGGCGCUUGUUUUUUAUCCAGUCUGCCACUGUGUCUUUUGAUCGGCACGUUCGGUCCGUUGACAUCUGAGGUUGUCAUUAUUACUAGUGUUGUUUCGGAGUAUAGUUGAUUUACAGGUUUACAGCGUUGCGUUAAUCUCAGAUGUACAGCAAGGUGAAUCAGUCGUGCGUUUGGGUCUGUCUGUUCCUUUUCAGAUUCUUUCCCUUCCAGGUUGUCACACAUCACUGCGCCAACUUCCCCGUGUCCUGCAGGAGGUCCUUCUACCCGUCGUUUCCACAGCGUGGUGCGUGUCCCCGUAGGCGUAUCAGUCCCGCGCCCCUCGUUUAUCCUUCCCCCAAAGGUAACCCGGUCAGUUCUGUUCCCUUUUUGUUCCUUUCUGUUUCUUUUUGUUUCUUAUGCUUGUAUCCUUUCCUCUUUGGUUUUUGUGAAUCUUUUGUUUGUUUGUGAUUUGCGAUUGCCCCGUUUUUCAAGUGUCGUAACCCCUUGCUGUAUCUGCUUGCUUUAGACCGAUAGUCGUGUAGGCUCAGACAUGUCCUAAAAAAAGAACCUACGUUUUUUUACUCUCCUUACCCCCAUUUUAUGGUUCUCGAUGUUCUUUCUGACAUUUUCGGGGCUAUCCUUUUGCUCUUCCUUGGGUUGCCAUCACUUUCACAAGUAGGGCUUUUUUUCCUCUUGGAUCUGCACUCUGGCUUAUUUGUGUGUGUCUGUGAGUCUCUUUCUGUUUUGUAGAUGGUUCAUUUGUGCCAUAUGUGAGAUUCCACAUAUAAGUGAUGUCACGGUAUUUCCUUCUUCUGACUGACUUAGCGAGAUCCUCUCUAGCUGCACCUGUGUGACUGUGAAUGGCGUUAUUUUGUUCUUUUUUAAGGCCACGUUGUAGUCCAUUGUAAAUAUGCACCACAUCUGCUUAAUCCAUCUGUUGGUGGGCAUUUUGGUUGUUUCCAUGUCCUGGCUAUUCGUCUGUUUUAACUGAUAGUCUGCGGGUAGAGUAUUCUAAGUUGCGUAUUUUUCCCUUUUAGAAGAAUCAUGCCAUUCCUUUCGGCCGCAGUGUUUCUGAAGAGGAAUUAGCUGAUAGCCUUAUGGGGGUUCCCUUAUAAUUAACUCUUUGUUUUUCUCUUGCUGCCUUUAUUUAAAAAAAAUUUUUUUUUGCCUUUUUCUUAUGGCUGCACCUGUGUCAUAUAGAAGUUCCCAGGCUAGGUGUGGAAUUGGAGCUGUAGCUGCCGGCCUACGUCACAGCCUCAGCAACGCGGAAUCUGAGCCACGUCUGCGGCCUGCACCCCAGCUCAUGGCAGCACCGGGUCUUUAGCCUACUGAGCAAGGCCAGGGCUCAAACCCGCAUCCUAAUGGGUACUAGUUGGGCCCGUUCCCACUGAGCCACGGCGGGCACUCCGCUUGCUGCCGUUGGAAUCUUGCCUUAUCUGUAAGUUCUGCUGUUUGUAUUAUAAGAUGCCUUGGUGGGGGUCUCUUUGGGACCCGUGCUUCCUGUAUCUGGGUGUCUGUUUCCGAAACCCUUUAGAUUUGGGACGUUUUCAGCCGUCAUUUCCUCAAAUGCGUCUUCAGCCCCCUUUUCUCUUCCUCAUCCUCUUCGGACCCCUGGUUCGCCUAGCCUGACGCGCUUCACGUGAGUCCGUGGAUGGCUGCGAUUUUUGCUCCUUUCUUCUUUCCCCUGUGGCUCCCCGCGUGCUGUCCUGCUUGGGUGGCCUUCCUUCCGUCCCCCUUCCGAGUCACGUGCUCGUGCCUCUGCGUGGCUCACCCUGCCGUCCAUUGUCCGCAGCUCAGCUCUUACCUUCGCGAGUGAACCUUCCCGUCUUACCCGUCCUCGUCGUUUCCAGCCGCUUUCCACAGUAGGCUGCGUUUCUGUCCGUGGGCGUUCUCACCUCCUCAGGGUUUUCAUGAGCUCCCCUCGAACCCGCUGUCUGCCGAGGGCGGCUGCAUUGUUCCUCCUUCGGGGAGGUCUGUCCCCGUCACUGGGAGCGGUUCUGGCGUUGCUUCAUUUCGCUCCUGUGUCUCCUGCUCUGUGAGUUUAGGGGCAGCAGCUGUCUCCUGGCAUCUUGGAGGGCUGUUUAUAUGCAAGGGCAUCCCUGGGUAGCUGGUGUGGGUUUCCUGGGUUUUGCUCUGAGGCUGCUUUUGCUCAGUGUGUGCAGGCCGUUGUCCCCCUGAUAGGGGGUGUGUGGGUGCUCGGCCCCCCUGUGCGUCGAGGGAGGUGGGGGCAGUGGGUGGUGCCUGCAGUGGUACCCGGUUGCGGGGCCCUUGGCCGUGGCUGUGACCCAUAGGAAGGUGGAGGGGGUGCCCAGUCAUGGGCCCUUGGCAGGUGCAGUGUGUGUGGGGGGGCAUGUGCCUUCCCAAGGGGUGGGGGCAAAGGCUGGGCCCUUGCGGGUAAGGGCGGCAGCAGCAGGCUGGGGGGCCCCUCCCCCAUGACCAUGUCUGGAUGUGCCCAUUCCCAGGGGUGGGGGCAGCAGGCAGGGGUGAGCCUCGCCCACCUCUGGAGUCCGGGAUGGCUAGGGUGGCUCGCACCCACCCCGACAGCCCAUGCAAGAGGGGCCCCGCCACCCGAGCCUGUGCGCAGAGAAAGAGGUUCUGUGGCAGUCCCGGCAGCAGCGCCUCCCUGGCAGCCCAGGCCUCCUGCACCCCCCAGCACCACUCCCCAGCCCCCUCAGGCUGUUCCCGUGCAGCCAGCCCGAGGCCUCUCCCCGGAACUCACCCCUAAAGCCCCAGCCCCUCUACCCGGCCCCCGCCCGAGUGCCCAGGCCGUGGUGCCCUGGGCGCUGGCACUGAUCUUUGUGCAGCUCUGUCUCUGCUUUGCCCUCUGGUCGACUGCUGUGCUCUUCUCUGAGGCUUUGAGGCUCCCCUCUGUCCCCGGGAUCCCCCAGUCAGGGGGCCCCCCAGGGCGCAGGUUCCUUUCCGCUUUCACAGCUCCCUCCCAGGAGUGCUCGUCCUGUCCUGAGUCCUUUUUUUCUCUCCUCUCUCCCUUUUUUUUGGUCCUGCCCAGUUAUGGGUCCAAUCGGAGCCGUAGCCACCGGCCUACGCCAGAGCCACAGCAACGCGGGAUCCGAGCCUCGUCUGCAUCCUACACCACAGCUCACGGCAAUGCUGGAACCUUGACCCACUGAGCAAGGCCAGGGAUCGAACCCGCAACCUCAUAGUUCCUAGUCGGAUUCGUCAACCACUGCGCCACGAUGGGAACUCCUAGGUUGGUUGGUUGGUUGGUUAUGUUUUUAACGUAUCUGGGGUGGGGGGUGAGCGCCACGUCCUGCGCUUCCACCCUCCUGACCACUUUCUGAGAUGACAUUCGCGUCACUAAUGCCCCCACUCCAAGUGUGUGAUUCGGCGGGUAUUUCUUCUUUCCCUGUAUUCACAGAUCUGUGCCGUCCUCACUGCAGACAUGGGGACACGUUCGUCACCCCACAGGAAGCCCCGGACUUAGUGUCCGUCACCCUGGCAGUCACGGAGCUGCUUUCUGUCUGUGUAUUUGCCUCCUCUGGACAUUUCACACCAGUGGAAUUACGCAAUGUGCGACCUUCCGUGUCAGGGUGCUUCCACUAAACAUGUUUUCAGGGCCUGUCCUUAUAGCAUUAUUUUAUUGUUUUUUGUCUUUCUGUCUUCUAGGGCCACUCCCGCGGCAUGUGGAGGUUCCCGGGCUAGGGGUCCCAUCGGAGCUGUGGCCGCCGGCCUCCACCGCAGCCCCAGCAGCCCAGGAUCCCAGCUGCGUCUGUGGCCCACAGCACAGCUCGCGGCAAUGCUGCAUCCUUAACCCCCUGAGCGAGGGCGGGGAUCGAACUCUCAACCUCAUGGUUCCAACCUCCUCGCCACCGCAGGAGCUCCGUUAUGGCAUUACUUUUGUAGCGUCCGUUUCUUUGCUGUCCUCCUUCGUUUUAUGACUUAAAAAGAUUGCGCCGUGUGGGCCUCCCGGUCUCACAAAUCGACGCACGCUCGGGUGGUGUCCCGCGGCUGGUCGUCCUGGUCCCACCGCUGCGGCCCGGGUUUCUCUGGGAGCCGGGAGGGGACUCUGCCGGGGCGAGUGGCGCCCUGCGAGUGCGCCCUGGGGGGCUGUUUGGAGAUGACAUCCUCAGCGGCCACCGCCUCCUUCGGUGCCGUCGGCAGGACUCGGGGGUCCGGGUUCCACAUCCUCA